UAUCUUAUACAGUGACAGAAGAAGUGCUUUUGGGCUAAUUAAGCUUAUACAAUAUCAUAGAAAAUAAAGUUUCACCGACUGUACUGGUCUGAAGGAUCCUACCUUAACAUUCCUAGCAUGCUCAUCAUGAGUUAAUGGGCAAACAACCUCAAUCUCAAGUAAAUUAUUGCUGAUGUACCCCGUGAAAAUGUAUUAUAUGAGCCGUAGUAGGUUAAAAAAAAAACCUUUUAAUUAAAAGGUGUGCUGUCACAAAGGAAAGGCUGGAGCUGCUGACAAAAUGACAAAAAUAACUGCAGAGCUAAUGUCUGACCAAAUACUAAUUACAUCUAAACACCAUGCAGAGCGGAUGGCUAAUUUAAUAUGAACAAAACAUGAAUGUGUCCAAUAAAUAAUGUAUUAUAAUGUCUUUACUGUAUGUCUUUGUUUGAUAAUGCUGCGUAGUUCAUACAAUACUGGUGAAGAACUGAGGGCAAAAGAAGAUUUAUUACUAAAUCAAAGUGUCUAAACUCAAGGGCAAUCAAUCGGACGGCUCCUUUGCUUUAGUGUAACUCCUGCACAUGGAUUCACUGAAAUUGAAACCUUUUUUGUUCUAUUAUUUAAACUAGUUAUUGUAUUUUGCUACAAAAUGUUUGGCUUUUAGACAUAUAUUACAGUAAUUGAUAGAAGCACCAGAUUAUAUUUUUGUAUAUUUGAAUAAAGAUUGUUUUUUAAGUA